UACAGAGGUCUCAAGCGUUGUUCGGAUUCAUUGGGCGUAAAGGGUGCGUAGGCGGCGCGGUAAGUCGGGUGUGAAAUCCCUCGGCUCAACCGAGGAACUGCGCUCUAAACUACCGUGCUCGAGGGAGAUAGAGGUGAGCGGAACUUAGGGUGGAGCGGUGAAAUGCGUUGAUAUCCUAAGGAACACCGGUGGCGAAAGCGGCUCACUGGAUCUCUUCUGACGCUGAGGCACGAAAGCUAGGGUAGCGAACGGG
rnacentral:rRNA from 1 species